rnacentral:rRNA from 1 species
GCUCCUUUGACGUUAGCGGCGGACGGGUGAGUAACACGUGGGUAACCUACCUAUAAGACUGGGACAACUUCGGGAAACCGGAGCUAAUACCGGAUAAUAUGUUGAACCGCAUGGUUCAAUAGUGAAGGAUGGUUUUGCUAUCACUUAUAGAUGGACCCGCGCCGUAUUAGCUAGUUGGUGAGGUAACGGCUCACCAAGGCAACGAUACGUAGCCGACCUGAGAGGGUGAUCGGCCACACUGGAACUGAGACACGGUCCAGACUCCUACGGGAGGCAGCAGUAGGGAAUCUUCCGCAAUGGGCGAAAGCCUGACGGAGCAACGCCGCGUGAGUGAUGAAGGUCUUAGGAUCGUAAAACUCCGUUAUUAGGGAAGAACAAACGUGUAAGUAACUGUGCACGUCUUGACGGUACCUAAUCAGAAAGCCACGGCUAACUACGUGCCAGCAGCCGCGGUAAUACGUAGGUGGCAAGCGUUAUCCGGAAUUAUUGGGCGUAAAGCGCGCGUAGGCGGUUUUUUAAGUCUGAUGUGAAAGCCCACGGCUCAACCGUGGAGGGUCAUUGGAAACUGGAAAACUUGAGUGCAGAAGAGGAAAGUGGAAUUCCAUGUGUAGCGGUGAAAUGCGCAGAGAUAUGGAGGAACACCAGUGGCGAAGGCGACUUUCUGGUCUGUAACUGACGCUGAUGUGCGAAAGCGUGGGGAUCAAACAGGAUUAGAUACCCUGGUAGUCCACGCCGUAAACGAUGAGUGCUAAGUGUUAGGGGGUUUCCGCCCCUUAGUGCUGCAGCUAACGCAUUAAGCACUCCGCCUGGGG